CGGCAACCUCAACGAGAGCGUGACCCCCGCGGACUUGGAGAAAGUGUUUGCGGAGCACAAGAUCUCCUACAGCGGCCAGUUCUUGGUCAAAUCCGGCUACGCCUUCGUGGACUGCCCGGACGAGCACUGGGCGAUGAAGGCCAUCGAAACUUUCUCCGGGAAAGUAGAAUUACAAGGAAAACGCUUAGAGAUUGAACAUUCGGUGCCCAAAAAACAAAGGAGCCGGAAAAUUCAAAUCCGAAAUAUUCCACCCCAGCUCCGAUGGGAAGUACUGGACAGCCUGCUGGCUCAGUAUGGUACAGUAGAGAACUGUGAGCAAGUGAACACCGAGAGUGAGACGGCAGUGGUGAAUGUCACCUAUUCCAACCGGGACCAGACCAGGCACUCAUUAGAAGAGUUCCUCAAUUGCUGCUUCAACACCCGCCACGAUGGCGUUCAACCUGGCAGAUUAAUUUAACAACUCUCUGAUGGGUUGCCCUGAAAUUUGAAAAACAGUGCCUUGGGCCGGGCGCGAUGGCUCACACCUGUAAUCCCAGCAUUUUGGGAGACCGAGGCGGGCGAAUCACCUGAGGUCGGGAGUUCGAGACCAGCCUGACCAACAUGGAGAAACCCCAUCUCUACUAAAAAUACAAAAUUAGCGGGGCAUGGUGGCGCAUGCCUGUAAUCCCAGCUACUUGGGAGGCUGAGGCUUGAACCCGGGAGGAGGAGGUUGCACUGAGCCGAGAUCACGCCAUUGCACUGCAGCCUGGGCAAUGAGCAAAACUCUGC
rnacentral:sRNA from 1 species